rnacentral:misc_RNA from 1 species
UCCCCGUUACCGAGGCAGUCUGAUUAGAAAAAUCCAACUAAUCAUAAGGGUUGCGCUCGUUGAUGGACUUAACCAAACAUCUCACGACACGAGCUGACGACGGCCAUGCAACACCUGUCACUGCGGCCCGAAGGCACAAUUUCCUUUCGGAAAUCUUGGCAGGAUGUCAAGCCUGGGUAAGGUUCUUCGCUUACCAUCGAAUUAAACAACACGCUCCACCGCUUGUGCGGGUCCCCGUCAAUUCCUUUGAGUUUUAAUCUUGCGACCGUACUCCCCAGGCGGCUUGCUUAACGCGUUAGCUUCGCUACUACUCGGGUCGAUACGAAUAACAGCUAGCAAGCAUCGUUUACGGCGUGGACUAC